AGGUAAAAUUAAAUUAAUUCAGCUACCAGAAAAAUACCAGAGAAAUAAAUAGAGAAGACCUUCCCUCAUUCUUCUAUGAUUUCCCAAGUUAGACUCUCCCACACUGCAAAGACACUAACUACUAAAUCUCCGGUUCAUCAUCCAAGUGAAACUACAAAAAGGGGCAUAGCCCAGAAUAAAGAGAAGCUGACUCAGAGAUGAAGCUCGAAGUGUAGGUAGUUUACCUGCAUCAUACAGGGAACCAUGGCAAAUGACUGGGAAAGAGAAACAAAAAACAGAACAGUCAAUCAAGAGUACAUUAUGAUGCCAGCUACCACUAGCUUCUGAGAAUAAAAACAGCCAAGAAAGCAGAGCUGAGAAGCAUGAAAAGAGAGACUUGAUAAAUUAUGUGUGCAUCUUAAUUCAGCCAUGACCAGAGCCUAAAAAUACAACCUGCACUUCUCAGCAAUUUGAGCCAAUAAAGUUACC